UUAUUCUAUUCUCAAAAUCGCAAAAGCAGACAACUGCAAAAGUUAACUAGAAAGUGUUGAUAUAAAAAGUCUAAUAACAAUAAUGACAAUAAUCAAGUGAAAGAAGCUUGAAAAACAGGAUAACAACUUUAAGCAACUAGUUAUUAUCAUUAAAGCGUAGGCUAACCAGCCUAUGUAUAUUUAAUCACUAUACAGUGCGUUAUGUCUAUUAUAUCGUAAUCGGAGUAAUUACUAGCGAUCUCCUGAGCUGCUUCCUGUUUCUUUCCUUGUGUAACGUGCUUGGUGGCGCAUCAGCAGUGCGCCGAGACAUGGCGCUUUCCGAUUGCCACUUGUGCAGAUCGAUACCGGGUCCGCAAAGUUGAAGAAGUGCGAAAAUGGGGUCGAUGUUUGGAUCGUUCUACGAAAAACCCACAGAACGGGUACGGUGCUUUUUCACCAUUUUCUCUUUUAACAGAACGUUUACGGUGGUUUUUCACCAUUUGUUGAAAGCAACUCUGUUCUCUUUCUAUUCACAACGCAUGGUAAUUUUUUUUUUAAACCAUGUAAAGGAAAAAACCAGCUAACGACUUUUAGCGAAAAAUCAACGCAAUUUUACAAGCGCACUAGGAAGUUGUACGAAGUGAAUAAUUCAGAAAAAAAACUUUAAAAAAGAAAUUAAUAAGGUUAAAAAUCACAAGGAGAAGUUU